UAAAAAAAAAUAAAAAAAAAUCUGGGCCUAGGCCCAAAACCUGAUUCCAACUCCAUUUCAUUACAUUCUGGAACCAUUCUACAAACGACAACACUGACACAACCAAAACACUAUAGUUUCAACCUCAAGAAAACCCUUGUCAAAAAGACUACUCAAAAAAACAUUCAGCAAAGUAAGAAAUUUUCAUACCUUCUCCAAUCUCCACUUUGCUCUUCAUAAGGUUUUAGGAGCUCGAAGAUGGCUGGCAAGUACAUCAUUGGUUCUAUUGUUGGAUCUUUUGCUGUUGCAUAUGUUUGUGACACUGUUAUUUCCGACGGGAAAAUAUUUGGAGGCAAGUUCCUGUUCCUUUUGUUAGUUCUUUGAUCAUGAAAUUUCCUGUGCUAUGCUGACAUUCACUUGUGGUAUCUCAAAACAGGUACGACUCCAAGCACCGUUACUAACACUGAGUGGUGGAAAGAGACGGACAAGAAAUUCCAGGCAUGGCCUCGCACUGCUGGUCCCCCAGUCGUCAUGAACCCCAUCAGCCGACAGAAUUAUAUUGUUAAGUCAAGUCUUGAUUGAGAAAUUUGAGUUAUGCUGUUUUGUUCUCCCAGAUUUCAUUUGAAAUUUAACCAUUCUUCUGUUUUGAGCAAGGAUUUUUGCUCCUAUGCUGGAUUCAGACAAUACUGAAGUCAUUUAUCUCACUUCCUUAUAAGAAGAUUUUUGACAUAUGUUACAAACAAUCAAAAAAGAUUUGACAUAUGUUACAAUAAAUUCUUUGUUCAGUUUGCGCA